rnacentral:rRNA from 1 species
CGGCAGGCCUAACACAUGCAAGUCGAGCGGUAGAGAGGUGCUUGCAUCUCUUGAGAGCGGCGGACGGGUGAGUAAUGCCUAGGAAUCUGCCUAGUGGUGGGGGAUAACGUUCGGAAACGGACGCUAAUACCGCAUACGUCCUACGGGAGAAAGCGGGGGGAUCUUCGGACCUCGCGCCAUUAGAUGAGCCUAGGUCGGAUUAGCUAGUUGGUGAGGUAAUGGCUCACCAAGGCGACGAUCCGUAACUGGUCUGAGAGGAUGAUCAGUCACACUGGAACUGAGACACGGUCCAGACUCCUACGGGAGGCAGCAGUGGGGAAUAUUGGACAAUGGGCGAAAGCCUGAUCCAGCCAUGCCGCGUGUGUGAAGAAGGUCUUCGGAUUGUAAAGCACUUUAAGUUGGGAGGAAGGGUAGUAACCUAAUACGUUGCUACUUUGACGUUACCGACAGAAUAAGCACCGGCUAACUCCGUG